AGUUUUAGAUAAUAAUUAAUAAAAGAUUUUGUUUAGCAAUUUAGCUAAUUAAGCUUAAUGAGUCGAGCUCGAGCUCACAAAUUUAAUAAACAAGCUAACACAUGCAGAACUGAUGAAUUUGACAUACGAGUUAAAUGCAAAGCUUUAAAUCUAAGCUUGAGCUCAGUAAAAAUCUAACGAGCCGAGCCUAAACCCUUCAAAGCUUAGCUUGAUAACACUCAUAAGUGGAAGUGAGGCACUCUAAUUUGGAUGCUUUAAGGUAUUGUAAGGGAACUUGGUUGGGUUUUCUGGCUUAAUCCUUGUUGGUGUCUUGUCGGCCUUUGCAAGUCAACUAAGUUGAAUAUCUUCUCAUUGGUCCUUCUUUAGAGACAUUUCAAGCUUAGUCCACGACUAAAGGCAAUGUAUCAGUUCCAUAGGCAUGUUUCGGACAGUGUAGCUUCAUUAUUUAGCAAGGAUGGUUUCUAUGUUGUCUCUUAGAUAAAGGAACUUCGAUUUGGUGCAAGAUUAUGAAGAGUUGGAAAUGGGCGUGAUCUCGUCAGAAAAUUAGUGUUUUAUUCUAAUAAUUUGAUUAAAAACCUUGGGAUAUGCUUGAUUUCUACAAUUUAGUGUAUUGGUUUGAUGAUAUAUUGUUUACCAAGUCUGUUUUAAUCAUAUAAUGCAUGUGGAUAAGUUAGUAUAAUGAUAUCUGCUAGUAAAAAAUAGUUGUAAUAUCUAUCUUGGGAUGUUGAUUACUAGAUUCUUUCCCCGUCAAACUAGAUCUGAUAAUCCUGAUUUCUAUUGAAGAUCAUCAUACCUAGACCUAAUAAAGAGAUGGCCUUCCCACCUAAUUAAACUGAACUGGUACAUGUGAGGAAACAUUCUGUUAUGGCAGUAUAAUAUUAUUAAGCAAUGACUUGAAUCAGAUAGUUAUU
rnacentral:misc_RNA from 1 species